UCCAGACUCCUACGGGAGGCAGCAGUGGGGAAUAUUGCACAAUGGGGGGAACCCUGAUGCAGCGACGCCGCGUGAGUGAAGAAGUAUUUCGGUAUGUAAAGCUCUAUCAGCAGGGAAGAAAAUGACGGUACCUGAAGAGGAAGCCCCGGCUAACUACGUGCCAGCAGCCGCGGUAAUACGUAGGGGGCAAGCGUUAUCCGGAUUUACUGGGUGUAAAGGGGGCGCAGACGGCGAUGCAAGCCAGGAGUGAAAGCCCGGGGCCCAACCCCGGGACUGCAUUGGAACUGUAAGGCUAGAGUGUCGGAGAGGCAGGCGGAAUUCCUAGUGUAGCGGUGAAAUGCGUAGAUAUUAGGAGGAACACCAGUGGCGAAGGCGGCCUGCUGGACGAUGACUGACGUUGAGGCUCGAAAGCGUGGGGAGCAAACAGGAUUAGAUACCCCCGUA
rnacentral:rRNA from 1 species